UACGGGGGGGGCAAGCGUUGUUCGGAAUUACUGGGCGGAAAGGGCUCGUAGGCGGCCAACUAAGUCGGACGUGAAAUCCCCAGGCUCAACCUGGGAACUGCGUCCGAUACUGGAUGGCUUGAAUUCGGGAGAGGGAUGCAGAAUUCCAGGUGUAGCGGUGAAAUGCGUAGAUAUCUGGAGGAAUACCGGUGGCGAAGGCGGCAUCCUGGACCGACAUUGACGCUGAGGAGCGAAAGCUAGGGGAGCAAACGGG
rnacentral:rRNA from 1 species